CAGCCGCCGCGGUAAUACGAAGGGGGCUAGCGUUGUUCGGAUUAACUGGGCGUAAAGGGCGCGUAGGCGGGUUUUUAAGUCAGAGGUGAAAUCCCAAGGCUCAACCUUGGAACUGCCUUUGAUACUGGAAGUCUUGGGUCCGGGAGAGGUGAGUGGAACUGCGAGUGUAGAGGUGAAAUUCGUAGAUAUUCGCAAGAACACCAGUGGCGAAGGCGGCUCACUGGCCCGGUACUGACGCUGAGGCGCGAAAGCGUGGGGAGCAAACAGGAUUAGAUACCCCUGUAGUCCCUGUCUCUUAUAC
rnacentral:rRNA from 1 species